rnacentral:SRP_RNA from 1 species
GCCGGGUGCGGUGGCUCACGCCUGUAAUCCCAGCACUUUGGGAGGCCGAGGCAGGUGGAUCACCUGAGGUCAGGAGUUCGAGACCAGCCUGGCCAACAUGGUGAAAUCCUGCCUCUA